CACCUAAAGUGUUUUUAAUUUCAAGUUUUUUUAAUCUAUUAUUUUUUUAAACUCAUUUAUUGAUUAAAAUUUUGUUGUUUUUAUUCGGACUUUCCUUUUCUUUUUCUGUACAUCUCUUUGUUUUUGGACCAUCAUUGUUUUAGAAGUGCUUCAGAAAUUAAGUUUGUCUUCUUGACACAGACUGAGGAGGGGUCAGUUUCAGUUUUCCAGUAAAUCAUGUGAGUGAUUCCAAACAGGGAGACUGAAAGUGAAAGUAUGGAGACUCCAUAAAAACCCACCAGCCUGCUGAUCUGCAGAGUCACUCUGAGCAGAGAUACAGCAGCAGGUAAGAGCCACUUUAACCUGUUAGGACCUUUUUUUACAGUCUCUCUGUCAUUUACUGAUGCUCACUGAAACACCAACUCUGUCCUCCAGCUCCAUUUUAAUCUGUAGAAACUGGAUUGGAGCAUUUUAUUGAUUUAAGAGUUGCAUGCUGUCUCAUCAUGUUUGGAGGGUUUUACUUCAGAAUAAGGAGAUUAUUGUAAUAAUGAUCACUUUGUUCCUCAUAGGUUGAUGUAAAGGAGAAAUAUUGAACUCUUUAUAUCAGCUGAUUACCUCUCAGAUUUAUCAUUGAUGGUUCAGCCUUAAACAGAUCAAUAAUGUCUGAAUAUCUGCAGACCGUGAGCUUCUACAAAGGUUUUAUUUUAGAGACUGGUCAAACAGCUGAGGUCAUGUUUUAAUAUGUGGACAUGUUCUCUGCAGACAUGGGCUCAUCAGAAUCCACACCUCCUCCACCUCCUCCACCUUCCCGUAAGAGGCUGAAUUCUUACUGACAUGAUCUCAGAUCUGUGUGUAUAAUCAGUGUGUGUAUAUAUCAGUGUGUAUAUGUGUAUGUGUGUGUGUGUAAAGUGCAUGGUUACUUUAAUCAGUAACCAUGUCUUUCAGUUUUUCUCACUGUUGUUCAUUUUUGUCCUUCAGCCUGUCUGAGGCAGCCGUGGAGACAACUGACAGAGUGAGUGAGCAUUCUGAGGACACAGUCCUGCUUAUUCACUCAUUCACACAUUCACACAUGUACAUUUAUUUAUAUUAACUCAUUUACACAUUAAACUAUUCACAUAUUUAUUCAUUCACACAGAGGCUAAGUAAGAUUGGUCUGUGUUUGUUUCCACACAGAGCUUAUCACACCUUUUUUCUUGUUUUUAUCCUUUUAUUUUAUUAGUUUUAUUAUUUAUUUGAUCUUGUUUUACAUGAUAUAAAGUUAUUUUAUCGUUUUCCAAUCUCAUUUUAUUUAAUAUAAUCUUGUUUUAUCUUGUCUUUUUUGUUUCUUGUUCUAUUUUUUAAUUUUCUUGUUUGACAUUUUUAAAAAUAAUUUUAUCUUUUAUUGAAUCAUUUCAUUUUUAUUUUGUCUUAUCUUUUUAUUUUCUUGUUUAAUUCUGUUUUUCAUUUUUUAAAGAAUUUUAUUAGAUUUUAUUUCACAUUUUUAUUUGAUCUUGAUUUAUCUUUUAAAAUUUUACCUUUUUAAAAAUAAUUUUCUUUUUUUAUCAUAUAUCAUUUUAAUUUUGUCUUGUCUUUUUACCUGUUUUUAAUUUGUGUUGUUUUUUUAUUUCCUUAUUUUAUUUAAUCUGAUUUCACACUUUCAUUGAAUCUUAUUUUAUCUUUUUAAAUUUUACCUUUUUUUAGAAAUAAUUCUAUCUUUUUAUUGAUCUUUUUAAAAAAAAAAAUUUUUGUCUAUUUUAUCUGGUUUUAUCUUGUAUUUUAUUGUAGUUUGUUAUGGUCAGGGCUCUUUUGUUUAAUACUACACAGAUGAGAUAAAACAAUCUGAUGUCUCUGCUUCGUCAGGAGCUCCGGGGACAUCAUUAGGUACCUGGGAGCCUACCACCCUCGAAAGAAACAAGUCAGUCACUUGAGGGUUCUGCUGCACGGCCCGGUCGGUGCAGGAAAGUCCAGUUUCAUCAACUCAGUGGACAGCGCUCUCAGAGGUCGUGUGACCGGUCGAGCUGCUACUGAUGCAACUUCAGGGACAAGCUUCACCCUGGAGGUAGGACGGUCUAGAGCCUGAGAGAACGUCUGAUUGUGGUCCUUCAGAAAUUUCUGAGACAGUUAUAUGUGACUCAACAAAUCUACAAAAUGACAAAAAAUAAAAUAUCCACAAAUUAAUGAAAAACUCAAAUGAACAAACUCUUUAGAAACUAACUCUCUCCCUGAAAAUGUGGAUCAUUUUCAGCAGGUUGGUUUUCAGAGGAGAGAAAAUAAAUCAGACUGAAUCUCCUUUUUAAGAAAAUGAAAAAACUUUUAAAUUGACACUUUUAUUUGUUUAACUGAUGCAUUUACUGUCUCCUUCUUUCAGUAUAAAACCCACAUGAUAGAAAAAGACGAGCAGAGCUUUUAUUCUGUGGUUUUUAAUGACAUCAUGGGUCUGGAAGACAGCCUGGACAACGGCGUCCACGUGGACGACGUCAAACUGGCGAUGAAAGGACACGUGAGGGAAAAUCACAAGGUACGCACUGAAGGACUUUGUUGAACUGAAGGUCCUGUAGAGUCUAAUCUGUCCAACCAAAGAGGUUAAAUCCACAGUCACUGAUCGAACCAGAACCAAGUCUGUGAGGACAUGAUACCACACCAGUGUACAACAGCGCCAUCUUCCUGUUUUAUGGUGUUUUACUACUUCCUGUGGCUGAGGGGAUUUUGAGAAUGACUCUGGCUGUGUCUCAUUUCAGAGACCGCAUCGGGCUAAGUGCACUUCUGCACCGUCGAACGGUGCAUAUGAAGCGUGCAUGACGUCACAACGGCGCGAACGGUGUCCCAUUUGGCACGAGAUGCUAAGAAAUGCUAAGCACGCUUAGCAUGUUUUCAAGCGUACAUAAAUGCACGCUUGAAAACAUAAAUGCAUAAGUGCCGUCGGUAUACCAGAAUGCUUUGCGUGCUGCUGCACAGCUGCGCAUUUCAGGUGAGAGGCUGGACUCGCUUGAAGACACAGCGCGUCUUCAAAGAAAAUACAAGAAAUCCAAAAACAGCAGACAGGUCAGCUUUGUGGUUUCUGAAGAAACAAUCAAACUGAUGAUGAUCAACAUUUAUUUGAUCCAGAGGGAGUCGAGCUCCGACGAGCACCACGUCUCUGACACCGACGGUAGCCUACACCUGCAGAGACACCAACACCUUAUUAUGGCAUAUGGAUUCAUAUCAUAAACUAAAGCUCAAUGUCAUUCACAGAUAUUUACGGCUGCGUUGACAGAUAUAUCCUCAGCAUAUUCAUUUCUGCCUCCACAAAAGCAGCGAUUUCCUUCAAGUACAGCAGUUUUUUUCCCCGUGGAAAAGACGUAUUGCUCAUGUAUUCUUUUUUUAAGUCUUAAACAAAACAGAGAUGGGUUUUUUUCGACCCAUUCUUUCCAACUCCUCCCAGUCGUUGUCUGUCCCCUUCUCCAGUAAGAUAAAUAUCUGCUCCUCACACCAGAAGCUUCUUGGAUAAGAGGCGAAACGUCUUCUCAACUCUACACAGUCCAGCCUAUUUUUAAGUCUUCAAGAUAAUUUUGUCUUUAUCUUAUUUUUUUCUAGUUUAACUCUCAAAACCCGCUCACAGAGCGUGAUCAUGGCUACAACCCAGACCCCACCCUGAAUGACAAAGUCCACGUCCUGGUCUGCGUGGUUCCUGUGGACAAAGUGUCUCUGCUGAAAGAUGGGGUGGUGCAGAAGUUAAGACAGGUCAGACUGGCAGCCAGGGACCAGGGUAAGUUCCCGCUCUGUGGACUCUAAGUCACCAGAGUCCUGCUGUCUGAGGUCUGAACCCCUCUGUGUGUCUGCAGGAAUCCCCCAGUUCGCCAUCCUCACCAAAGUGGACCAAGCCUGUCCAGAGGUGAGGAGAGACAUCCGCAACAUUCACAAGAGCAAAUACCUGAAGAAGCAGGUGAGUCUGAGUCCCUUAGAUUGUCCAAAGACCUUUACUCAGAGUCCAGUAACCAGACCGUCUCUGUGACCUGAAGGUGGAGCAGUUCAGCGUCCGCCUGGGGAUCCCUGUCAACUGCAUCUUCCUGGUGAAGAACUACGAGUCUGAGCUCUCCACGUCUGAUGAGGUGAGCAGACCCAUCCUGACCGCCCUGAAACAGAUGGUGAACUACGGAGAGGACUACCUGAACAACAUGUAGACCCUCGCUCUGUUGAGACCCCCCCACACUCCAUGGUCAAGGAUUGGAGACCCCCUUGACCACAAUCUGGUUUCAGCCGUGUCAUGCAUGCAUUGAGAGAUCGUCGGUGUUUGGAAGUGUUCAGACUCUGGAAACUUCUUUCUGUUAAUUUAGACUUUGAAAAGGAAACUAAACUAAACUAAUGACCCAAUAAAACCUUUGAAUUCUUCCUUUAA
rnacentral:lncRNA from 1 species